AAUGAACGCUGGCGGCGUGCGUAACACAUGCAAGUCGAACGAGAAAUUCCGGGCUUGCUCGGGAGAGUAAAGUGGCGAACGGGUGAGUAACGCGUGGGUAACCUGCCCCUGAAUCUGGAAUAACUUCGCGAAAGCGAGGCUAAUACCGGAUAUUGUCCCAGGGACUGUGGUCCUUGUGAUGAAAGAUGACCUCUUCACGAAAGUUGUCGUUCAGGGAGGGGCCCGCGUACCAUUAGCUAGUUGGUAGGGUAACGGCCUACCAAGGCGAUGAUGGUUAGCUGGUCUGAGAGGAUGACCAGCCACACUGGCACUGAAACACGGGCCAGACUCCUACGGGAGGCAGCAGUGAGGAAUUUUGCGCAAUAGGGGAAACCCUGACGCAGCAACGCCGCGUGAGUGAAGAAGGCCUUCGGGUCGUAAAGCUCUGUCAAGUGGGAAAAAAGCUUCCUGGUGAAUAGCCAGGAAGACUGAUGGUACCAUUGAAGGAAGCACCGGCUAACUCCGUGCCAGCAGCCGCCGUAAGAC
rnacentral:rRNA from 1 species